AUCGCUUCUCGGCCUUUUGGCUAAGAUCAAGUGUAGAAUUUUACAUUGAGGCUGUCAAAGGCAUUUGUAACCUUGAGCAGAACAGACUGAAGUAUAAGCUUCUUAUUCUGAAUUAUGUGGAUAGGAACUAGUUACAAACCCAGCAAUUAUUUCACUUAAUUAAUU
rnacentral:snRNA from 1 species